CCUACGGGAGGCAGCAGUGAGGAAUAUUGGUCAAUGGACGAAAGUCUGAACCAGCCAAGUCGCGUGAAGGAUGACUGCCCUAUGGUUUGUAAACUUCUUUUAUAUGGGAGUAAAAUGUUCCACGUGUGGCAUUUUGUAUGUACCUUAUGAAUAAGCAUCGGCUAACUCCGUGCCAGCAGCCGCGGUAAUACGGAGGAUCCGAGCGUUAUCCGGAUUUAUUGGGUUUAAAGGGAGCGGAGGUGGAUUGUUAAGUCAGUUGUGAAAUUUUGCGGCUCAACCGUAAAAGUGCAGUUGAAACUGGCAUUCUUGAGGAAAGUAGAGGUAGGCGGAAGGCGUGGUGUAGCGGGGAAAU
rnacentral:rRNA from 1 species